AAACAUUAGCUAGUUUAGUCAUUUAGACUUAGAAGGAAUUAAGUAAGUACUCCAGUUCAUAGUAGUAGCAGGAUAGAAUGGUAAUAAAUCACCACAAAACUUUAUAAGAAAAAUAGUCUGUAACUAAAAAAUAAGCAAAAAUAAGUAAGAAAGAAAACUAAAAAAAUGAGCAUCAAAAUAUAUUUCCCAAAGCCAGGAACUUUGAAAGCUAUUGGACUUGUUUGCCUCUUUGUGCAUAUUUUAAUAGUAUUGGCAAAUUAUAGGACUGUACUUGACUGGAAAGGGAGAGAUGACAUCAGCAGGCUAAUUGUUGCCACAAGUGAUAGCUGAUGGUGAGAGACAGAUAACUGUUAAAUUCCAGCACAGGCACUGAAGAAGAUACUGGUCUACCAUGCCAUGUGGAGAUAAAGAAUACAAAACAGCCUGUAGUCCUUUGAAGGGUCGUGUGUGACAGUUCAGUUAAGUUGGCAUUGACCCAGCACUCUACUGCAGCUAUUUAAUGCCAGGGAUUUAAAAUUUUAGGUAUUUAGCUACUUAUUACUAAGUAACUUGUGAAACAUCUCCUAAUUGCACCCUUGAAUUUCACCUUAAUUCUGAUUCAUACCCAAAGAAUAGGAAUCAAGGAUAAGGUGUGGAGUAAGUAAAGAUGAAGCUACACGAUUUGGAUCACUGGGACAGAUACUAUAUAGAAUGAUACUUUUUUUUUCCAUAGUUGUCCACCUUAGAAAGGGCCCUCAGUAAUUUUAAACAAAAUGCCUGUUGGUUCUCUUUAGAGUUAGUUCACUUUUAUUUCAAGUGGGUUUUUUUCUCAGAUUCUCUGCUCUUCUUCCCACCCUCCUAACACAAAUUACAUUGGUCAAACAUUUAUUUCCAAUUGAUAAGUAGAUAAUGUCUGCUAUAAUAGAAUUUAAGUCUGUUUUUCAUUUGAGAAUCUGAAGGAUGAAUACCUGAUUUGUAAGUUUUAUUUCAUUUACUUUAUUUGAUUGUAUGUGUAUUAGCCACAGAAUGGAGGCAAAUUCAGCAUCUUUCUUUAACUCUAUGCUGUUUCUUUUAGAGGAAGUCCACAAAUGAAGGGGACACCCCAUUUUAAGGAAGAACAGUGUGCUCCAGCAUUAAAUUUAGAGAUGAGGAAAAUACUGGAUUUACAAGCACCCAUCAUGAGUUUGCAGUCUGUGUUGGAAGAUCUCCUGGUUGCUACUUCUGAUGGACUUCUUCAUCUUAUUCACUGGGAAGGAAUGACAAAUGGAAGGAAAGCCAUUAAUCUUUGCACAGUACCCUUUUCAGUAGACCUGCAGUCAUCGAGAGUAGGUUCAUUCCUGGGCUUCACAGACGUACACAUCAGAGACAUGGAAUACUGUGCCACACUUGAUGGGUUUGCUGUUGUAUUUAAUGAUGGUAAAGUUGGAUUUAUUACACCAGUGUCAAGUAGAUUUACUGCAGAGCAGCUUCAUGGAGUUUGGCCACAAGAUGUUGUUGACGGAACGUGUGUAGCAGUAAAUAACAAGUAUCGACUAAUGGCAUUUGGCUGUGUGAGUGGUUCUGUGCAGGUCUAUACAAUAGAUAACAGCACUGGAGCCAUGCUGCUAUCUCAUAAAUUAGAGCUAACAGCAAAACAGUAUCCUGACAUUUGGAAUAAAACAGGAGCUGUUAAAUUGAUGAGAUGGUCUCCUGACAAUAGUGUUGUAAUAGUGACCUGGGAAUACGGAGGCCUUUCUUUAUGGAGUGUUUUUGGAGCACAGCUGAUUUGUACACUUGGAGGAGAUUUUGCUUAUAGGUCUGAUGGCACCAAAAAAGAUCCCCUUAAGAUCAACUCUAUGAGCUGGGGUGCAGAAGGCUAUCACUUAUGGGUAAUCAGCGGAUUUGGUUCUCAAAACACUGAAAUUGAGUCUGACCUCAGGAGUGUAGUUAAACAGCCCAGCAUCCUGUUAUUUCAGUUUAUUAAGAGUGUACUCACUGUAAACCCUUGUAUGAGUAACCAAGAGCAGGUGUUGCUUCAGGGUGAGGAUCGCUUGUACUUGAACUGUGGAGAGGCUUCACAAACCCAGAAUCCCAGGAGUUCUUCAACACACUCUGAGCAUAAGCCCAGUCGAGAAAAGAGCCCAUUUGCAGAUGGAGGUUUAGAGUCUCAGGGAUUAAGCACUUUACUUGGACAUCGGCAUUGGCAUGUUGUACAGCCAUUUCUCUGCUAUUUUCAUUUCCCCAUACUUUGAACUAUUCAUUCUACACUGACCUAGCAUCAAUGCCAGUUCUGCCUAGCCAGGUCUGUGUUACCAGAGAGCCAAGUAGAGCAGAGGAUCAAAGAAGGAGCAAAAUAUGAUCGUGACAGGUGGCUUAGCCUGGUGGAAUGAUUUUAUGGUCCUUGCGUGUUAUAACAUAAAUGACCGUCAAGAAGAGCUUAGAGUAUACUUGCGAACAUCAAAUCUGGACAAUGCCUUUGCUCAUGUCACCAAAGCACAAGCAGAAACAUUACUGCUUAGUGUCUUCCAGGACAUGGUAAUAGUAUUUAGAGCAGACUGUUCAAUAUGCCUUUACAGUAUUGAAAGAAAAUCUGAUGGUCCAAAUACUACUGCUGGUAUUCAAGUUCUUCAGGAGGUUUCCAUGUCACGCUACAUUCCUCACCCUUUCCUGGUGGUAUCUGUCACUCUGACAUCAGUGAGUACAGAGAAUGGAAUCACCUUGAAAAUGCCACAGCAGGCUCGUGGUGCAGAGAGCAUUAUGUUAAACCUGGCAGGACAGCUCAUCAUGAUGCAGAGGGACAGGUCAGGCCCACAGAUCCGGGAGAAGGACAGUAACCCUAAUAACCAAAGGAAACUUCUGCCAUUCUGUCCUCCUGUUGUACUAGCCCAGUCUGUUGAAAAUGUCUGGACAACGUGUCGAGCAAAUAAACAGAAACGUCACCUUCUGGAGGCCCUCUGGCUGAGCUGUGGUGGUGCAGGGAUGAAAGUCUGGCUCCCUCUCUUCCCUAGGGAUCACCGCAAGCCCCAUUCCUUCUUGUCCCAGCGGAUCAUGCUGCCUUUCCACAUCAACAUUUACCCGCUAGCUGUUCUGUUUGAAGAUGCUUUAGUCCUUGGUGCUGUCAAUGACACUUUGCUCUAUGAUUCUUUAUAUACUCGGAACAAUGCUAGAGAACAGCUGGAGGUGCUCUUCCCUUUCUGUGUUGUGGAGAGAACCUCUCAGAUCUACCUCCACCACAUUCUACGUCAACUUCUGGUCAGAAACCUUGGGGAGCAAGCCUUGCUCUUGGCCCAGUCCUGUGCCACAUUACCUUACUUCCCUCAUGUGCUGGAGCUCAUGCUCCAUGAAGUACUGGAAGAAGAAGCUACCUCACGGGAGCCCAUUCCCGACCCUCUGCUUCCCACUGUGGCUAAAUUUAUCACUGAGUUCCCCCUCUUCCUGCAGACAGUUGUCCAUUGUGCCAGGAAGACCGAAUAUGCCCUGUGGAAUUACCUUUUUGCAGCUGUUGGAAACCCUAAGGACUUGUUUGAGGAAUGUUUGAUGGCUCAGGAUUUGGACACAGCUGCCUCUUACCUUAUUAUCUUACAGAAUAUGGAAGUCCCUGCAGUAAGUAGGCAACAUGCUACCCUUCUAUUCAACACAGCACUAGAACAAGGCAAGUGGGACCUUUGUCGACACAUGAUUCGAUUUCUUAAAGCCAUUGGCUCUGGAGAAUCUGAGACACCUCCAUCCACACCCACAGCUCAGGAACCCAGUUCAAGUGGUGGAUUUGAGUUCUUCAGGAAUCGAAGCAUCAGUUUAUCCCAGUCAGCUGAAAAUGUUCCUGCCAGUAAAUUCAGUUUACAGAAAACACUAAGUAUGCCAUCUGGUCCCUCUGGAAAAAGAUGGAGCAAAGACAGUGACUGUGCUGAGAACAUGUAUAUUGACAUGAUGCUCUGGAGACAUGCUCGGCGCCUCUUAGAAGAUGUGAGGUUAAAGGACCUUGGCUGCUUUGCAGCCCAGCUGGGCUUUGAACUAAUUA
rnacentral:sRNA from 1 species